CGAAACAUUGAGAAUUUCUCAAACAUCUCGAACGAGCAACGAAUUGGACGAUCCACAAAAAAGGAUAAGGAGUGAGAUGACAACUCGAAUCCUUCUCCCAACACUUAACAAAAAUAUUCUUGAAACCUUUUUAUAUAAAGAGUACGAACUACACAACGGCCGGUAAAUGGCAGGGAUUCGAAGCCACAUACGGCCAGUCCCACUACAUAAAACACGGCCACACUUGGCCGGACACAAACCAACGAUAGAAAUAUUUUACAAGGGAACACUUUCCCGAUAAACCAUAGAAGGCCUCGCCAAUCAACCAUCAAUAU
rnacentral:lncRNA from 1 species